UGUGUAUGUGUGUAUGUGUGUGUGUGUGUGUGUAUAUAUAUAUAUAUAUAUACACACACACACACACACAUACAUAUACACGCG